AAUUCAUGAUGAAGGUAAGAAUUUGGUUCAUAUGCUAUAUAUGUAAUACUUAAAGUACGUGUUCAGUAUGGUUGUACAUAUUUGCUUUAUUUUUUUAACUUAUGACAUUUUUCUUUACAUUUGUAAGGUUUUAAAAAUUAAACUUCGGAAUUCUUAAAUAUAAAAAUAAAUCACUUGUACAUAUUUAGCAACUUCAACAUUUGACAUUUUUGAAUCAUACUACAACAUGUUAAGUUUAAUUAGUCAACAUUGGGAAUUUCUUCAUUAAAUCAAGUUCUUUAUAGCUCUUCGUAUAGAAGGUUCAGCCUGGGAAUGACAUGGCACCAAGAAAUUGCUGUUGCUUACUCCAGAACUAAGAUUAUUUCAGCCCCUUUUGAUUUCUCAAUUAAAGUUAGAAAAAAUUAUAAAAUAAAAAUAGUUUUUAGUUGUUGAUGUACCUUUAUUUUCUAUUUAUUUAUAUGCGGUGCUAAGAAACGAACUCGGUGCCUAGCAUGUGCCAGUCAAGUGCUCUGCCACUGAGCCACAGCCCCAGCCCCUAGAAAAAAGAUUUUAGAAGGAGAAAAAUGAAAAGACUUAAUCACAUGGUCUUGUCAAUGAAGGAAGAUGCCAGGGAAGGAUAGAGAGAGCAGAAUCUAGUCACUUGGUGAUGUAUGGUUGGAAGUUUGUUUCUUUUUUAUAUGCCUACCACAUUUCUCCUGUAAUAUUUGUGGGACUUAAGUUCUAUACUAAAAGCUUAGAAACAGUAAAGACAUUUAUUUGUAUUGAGUUAAUAAAGGAUUAAUUUAUAAUCUCAAAAGAAUGUCAUUUAGGAAAGAUAUAAGUUUGGAGAAGUGUCAAUCAAAACUCUGGACACGUGCUGGAAAGGCGGCUUUGAAGAAAAAGAAGCAGAGCUCUCCUGUCGGCUGUGGAGUUUUGUAAAAGCCUGUCAUUCAGGUUUCUCAGAUCUCUGGAUCUGGUGCAUCGUGGGCUACCCCAAGUGGACUUGAUCAUCAAUAGGGAAUUUGAUAGUUGGGGUGAAAUUGACAGAAGCCUCCUAUGGAUAAAGACAUGGAGCAUCUUCUAGGACUUCCAAUAACCUCCGCUCUUAUUUUUCAGUGGAAAAUAUUAUUACAUUAUAAGGAGGGGGUGUUACCUGCUAAACUAGGUACAUCAAGACCAAGGAAUUUGGAUGGAAAAAGUAUUAUAAGCAGCAAAUGUGGAUAGAUCCUCUCCUUGUAAAUAUUAAUCAUGAAAUCGGGUCUGGAAAAAAAACUGUUUUGCUUGUUAAUCUGCAUCUACUGUGUCUAUUUUAUUAUCUCACCCCUACACUGGACCCGCUUCAGUGCCCUCUCAGCCUCCUGUUGGCCACAGGUAAAGGAACGGUUGUCUUGGAACAAUUAUCUUUGUCACCAAAGAUAUAAUAUAUAUCUUAUAUAUAAAUAAAAAUAUAUAAUUAAAUAAAUUAAAAUAUAUAAUUUAUUGAGACCAGAAGGAUGAGGUAGACUCCGCUAAAAACAGGUGUUAUUCCUAAAGUAAUUUAUUGAGGCUUUGAUGGCUGUUAACUCUGGGCCCAGGAGUGAAUGGCUUGUUUUCAUACCUGACUUGGAUGACCUGGAAAGGUCAGGAAUUGUCCAGGAGAGGAAUCUGCAUGCGACUGGAGUGAUUGGAGCCAUUUGGCAGGAGAGGGCACCAAGUGCUCUUCUGUUCGUGCGGUGUGCCCUUUGAGACCCACACCUGGAAGGUGUGGUUGAGCUCAGAACCAGCUGGAUGCUUUCUUAUCAGAGCCCCUUCCUGAUUGUUGGUGCUGAGCAGGGAGGUGUUGGUCCUGCCCUAAGCCUGGUCUCCUCCCUUGGAGACCCAAGUGAAAGACACCAGCACAAGAUAAGCUCUUCAGUGCUGCAUGGCCAUUCUGGUGGUGGUGACCUAGCUUCAUUGGGCAGAUCCAUUUUGUCAUGAAGCCCCAUUUCUCAUUAAUUGUUAAAAUUGAUUGACUGCUUAAGGCAGGAUUGUUUGAGAGUCUCCUGCAGCUGGGGACCCACGCUCCUGUGAGAUAUAUUUCUGUUAUUCUCCCUAGAACCACUAACUUUUCUAUUUCCAAGCAUUACUAUUUGUAUUUAAAGGUACACUUAAAAGCACCUCCACUUGGGAUCUAAAUACUCUGAAAGGGCUUCUAUUAUUAUACAUUUCUUUUAUUGUUGUCUAUAAUUUCUAAUAUUGAGGGUAUGUCUCCUUGUUGCUUGAAGUAUAUAAACUCCUUUUUAGAUUUCAGUGUUGAACUUCUAAAAUGGCAUGUGAUAUCAUAGAUGUCAAGGCCAUGGGAAAGUUCUGCAGACUUAAAAAUUUAUAUAGUAAGGACCUGGAAUUUUGACAAAUGUCCUUCAUUGAUUAACAUAGCAUUUUUGUACAAGCAAGAUGGUCACAAAAACAGAAAACCUUAAAAUGCUGACAUGUAAGAUUGUUAAUGAAAUAAAUGGCUUUAAUAAAAAAUAAUUCAAGAGGUUUUUUAAGCUGGUAUAUAUCACAAACAUUUAAACAAUACUGAGCU
rnacentral:lncRNA from 1 species